UGGGGAAUAUUGGACAAUGGGGGGAACCCUGAUCCAGCCAUGCCGCGUGUGUGAAGAAGGCCUUUUGGUUGUAAAGCACUUUAAGCGAGGAGGAGGCGCUCUAGGAUAAUACCCUAGAUACGUGGACGUUACUCGCAGAAUAAGCACCGGCUAACUCUGUGCCAGCAGCCGCGGUAAUACAGAGGGUGCGAGCGUUAAUCGGAUUUACUGGGCGUAAAGCGCGCGUAGGUGGCUAAUUAAGUCAAAUGUGAAAUCCCCGAGNUUAACUUGGGAAUUGCAUUCGAUACUGGUUAGCUAGAGUAUGGGAGAGGAUGGUAGAAUUCCAGGUGUAGCGGUGAAAUGCGUAGAGAUCUGGAGGAUUACCGAUGGCGAAGGCAGCCAUCUGGCCUAAUACUGACACUGAGGUGCGAAAGCAUGGGGAGCAAACAGGAUUAGAUACCCUGGUAGUCCAUGCCGUAAACGAUGUCUACUAGCCGUUGGGGCCUUUGAGGCUUUAGUGGCGCAGCUAACGCGAUAAGCAGAGCCGCCUGGGGAAGUACGGUCGCAAGACUAAAAACUCAAAU
rnacentral:rRNA from 1 species